rnacentral:lncRNA from 1 species
AUAUGUCACCGUCGUAUUUAUGUGUAUAUUAAAUGGUUAUUCAUCAGUUCAUUUCAUUCAUUCAUUCAUUCAUUCCAUUGUCUGUUUCAUCAUACUCAUUAUGACGAUUGACUGAGACUGACGACAUUUCUAAUAUACGUCACUGCACAAUUUCAUAUACACGUCACUUCACACCUGAACGAUUUAAAUAAAAUAAAAUAUUAUUGCACGAGCGCGGGAAAAUAUGUGUACGCCUUAUUUUUAUAUAGAGAUUUAGGAUUUCAUUAAAUGAAUAGCAGC